rnacentral:lncRNA from 1 species
CAUUAUUUUAGGCAGAAUGACCAAAUUCAUUUGCACGGUCUUCCCCCCACCCCUUAACAGCUUUGCUCAUGCUCUCAUUCCCCCCUCUGUCUCAUGCAGCGUGCGGCUCUGGGGGAGGGGACGUGAUGUAGAUGUACAUACAUAUAUGACAGAUGUAAAAUGUAUUUAAACCGAGUAAGUCCACAGAUGCUCAAAAUUUUCUUGCCACAGAAUCAGGGAUGACUUUCCCAUAAAAACGAUACGAAAUAAACUCGGUUUUUUUUUUAAGCCAGAUUUUUAAACUCAGAUCGAAAAAAAAACUGGCUAGCAAAAUGUGCAAUAUAUUUUGCUAGCAGCAGAGUGUGACCAGAGGUGAAAACCGCAUUCCGUACGGUUACACUUCACAGACACCUUUUGUUUACCUUUUUGAACAUGUGUGAAAAUUGAACAAAAGGUUAAUAAAACAAUGAAUGCAAAAUGGAUCCAUGCAGAAGAUUAUUUUAGUGAGACUGGCGGCUCUUGAAUGAUCGGAGGCUGAGGACAAUCAACGAAAUAAGCGACGACAACUUUGAUUAAACCCAUAUCUGCAGGAAAGAAACCCGGACGGUCGUUGUCUAUACAUUUGAGUAUUAUAAAUCAUAUAAAUAUGUGUACAUUUAUGGAAACCCAUGAAACCCCUUUGCACAUUCCGCAGUUUGAAAAUAUGACAGAGAAUUUGCAUGUGGCUGGGAAUAACAUCUGCAGAUUUCUUUGAUUGGUGGAGCAGCAAGGCCGUGCCAAGAAAUAAUUGCGCCCUUCCUAUUCUUCUUUGGAUAGUUUCGAGCCCAGAUUGUCACCAUCGCCCCUUGGCACGACCACUAACCAAAUGGUAUACUAUUGUAUACUAAUAGUAUACUAAAUACUAUACCAUUUGGUUAGUGGCACGACCCUGUGGAGCAGUACUUGGUCCCAAAAGGAGAACAACUUAAAACAGUUUGUUAACAGCCCAGCCGGGUCUGCGUCUUGACAAACUCAAGCAACUGGCGUUCAAAUAAGUUAGACAAACUAAAAGUGCAAAUAAAUUCAAUAUAAUCUCAUU